rnacentral:rRNA from 1 species
AAUAGAUACCCUGGUAGUCCACGCCCUAAACGAUGCGAACUGGAUGUUGGUCUCAACUCGGAGAUCAGUGUCGAAGCAAACGCGUUAAGUUCGCCGCCUGGGGAGUACGGUCGCAAGACUGAAACUCAAAGGAAUUGACGGGGGCCCGCACAGGCGGUGGAGUAUGUGGUUUAAUUCGAUGCAACGCGAAGAACCUUACCUGGCCUUGACAUGUCCGGAAUCCUGCAGAGAUGCGGGAGUGCCUUCGGGAAUCGGAACACAGGUGCUGCAUGGCUGUCGUCAGCUCGUGUCGUGAGAUGUUGGGUUAAGUCCCGCAACGAGCGCAACCCUUGUCCUUAGUUGCCAGCACGUAAUGGUGGGAACUCUAAGGAGACUGCCGGUGACAAACCGGAGGAAGUGGGGAUGACGUCAAGUCCUCAUGGCCCUUACGGCCAGGGCUACACACGUACUACAAUGGUCGGUACAGAGGGUUGCAAUACCGCGAGGUGGAGCCAAUCCCAGAAAGCCGAUCCCAGUCCGGAUUGGAGU